CAUAACCUUUAGCUAAACCAAUAUUAAAGGCAACGCCUGCCCAGUGAAUAAUUAAACGGCCGCGGUACCCUAACCGUGCAAAGGUAGCGUAAUCAUUUGUCUAUUAAUUGUAGACCUGUAUGAAAGGCAUAAUGAGGGUUUAACUGUCUCUUUUAGUAAAUCAAUUAAACUGAUCUCCUAGUCCAAAAGCUAGGAUACCAACAUAAGACCAGAAGACCCUGUGAAACUUUAACUAAAAUAUUAAAGCCUAUAAUAUCUACUUUAGGUUGGGGCGACCUUGGAAAACAAAGAAACUUCCAUAUACAUAUUAUACAAUAAUAUGUUACCGGCCAACAAGCCUACAACGACCCAGCAUAGCUGAUAAUUGAACCAAGCUACUCCAGGGAUAACAGCGCUAUCUUCUUCAAGAGCCCAUAUCAAAAAGAAGGUUUACGACCUCGAUGUUGGAUCAGGACAUCCUAAUGGUGCAACCGCUAUUAAGGGUUCGUUUGUUCAACGAUUAAUAGUCCUACGUGAUCUG
rnacentral:rRNA from 1 species